GGGUGAUUAGCUCAGUUGGUUAGAGCAUCUCGUUUACACCGAGAGGGUCGGGGGUUCGAAUCCCUCAUCACCCA
rnacentral:tRNA from 1 species